CGGAAUUACAAAACACGAAAGGAAUUACAAACAGCUGUUAGAGAGGGCUGUGACUUUCCACACACCGAUUUCACUAAAUAAAAUUGACAUAUCCAUCUUCUCUCACUCUUAUUCUAUUUAUAGUCUCAUGUGACAGAUUUUGGCUACCAGACGCCACCCUUCUAACAGAAUUUGUUACUGCCUCCCCAUUCUACAUCUUCUUGUUUCUCCUAGAAUACAUGUAUUUAAUUGGGGGCUUAUCAAUUACCUCGCCCAAUUCAGCCACCUUUUCCUCAAGGUGGAAGGUGGGAAAUUGUUGAGUAAUGAGGCUGAAUGGCUCCCAACUCCCAAGUACUUUCCAAUGGAGAUGGUUCCACUGAAUUAGCAACUCCAAACAAUCUGUUGUCCCCAGCGAAGCAGUCCUGCCAGCACAAUUUCUGGUUCAACCAAUGAUUCCCAGACAGCUCCCAAAUUGACAGGCGGCCUUACGCAAUUGCGAUACAUGAAACACCAGAUGAAUAUGUGUUUCAGGUGGCAGCUCCAAUCGAUAGGCAACUUUCGCCACCUUAGCUAAAACCUUAUCGUGGGACAAGCUUCCUGUUGAUAAGAUGUGCUAGAGAUUUGUGGAAAUAGGGACGCAUUUUCAAAUAAACCAUGUUACCAGUCGAAAAUUCGAUCGUCCUUCUAUGCUUAUCAGCUGAAUUCUUCAUUUUCUAUUGUGCUCAUCCAACAGUUUAUCUCUUUAUGUCAAUUACAGAUCCAAAGAUGAUACAGUUGUCGUUCCAUUUUAAAAACACUACAGACGGGGAGGAUCCUAUCCAUAAACUAUAGGAAAAGGAUUGAGUUGUGCAGACACGUGAAAGGAAGUGUUGUAGGAUAGUUCAG
rnacentral:lncRNA from 1 species